ensembl:snoRNA
AGCACAUGUGGUUUGUUUUCACUUACCUAUGGAGAAAGCUAUCCAGACAAGUGCAGAAGGUAAAUUGUCUUUUGCAACCUGGAACUCCUUGUGCAUAAUGAGUUUUAUAUAAGAUGGAAUAUU